rnacentral:rRNA from 1 species
GUAGGGAAUAUUGGACAAUGGGCGGAAGCCUGAUCCAGCCAUGCCGCGUGGAGGAUGACUGCCCUCUGGGUUGUAAACUCCUUUUGUACAGGAAGAAACCUCCUCAUUUAUGAGUGAGCUGACGGUACUGUAAGAAUAAGCACCGGCUAACUCCGUGCCAGCAGCCGCGGUAAUACGGAGGGUGCAAGCGUUAUCCGGAUUCACUGGGUUUAAAGGGUGCGUAGGCGGUUUUAUAAGUCAGUGGUGAAAUCAACGGGCUCAACCUGUUAACUGCGAUUGAUACUGUAGGACUUGAAUAUGAGAGAGGUAGGCGGAAUGUUGCAUGUAGCGGUGAAAUGCUUAGAUAUGAUACAGAACACCGAUAGCGAAGGCAGCUUGCUGAACCAUUAUUGACGCUGAGGCACGAAAGCGUGGGGAGCGAACAGGAUUAGAAACCCCUGUAGUCC